rnacentral:rRNA from 1 species
CGACGUAAAGAACUUGCCUCACAGCUAGGGACAACAUUUAGAAAUGAAUGCUAAUACCUGAUAUUAUGAUUUUAAGGCAUCUUAGAAUUAUGAAAGCAUAAGCACUGUGAGAGAGCUUUGCGUCCCAUUAGCUAGUUGGAGAGGUAACAGCUCACCAAGGCGAUGAUGGGUAGCCGGCCUGAGAGGGUGAACGGCCACAAGGGGACUGAGACACGGCCCUU